GAUGAACGCUGGCGGCGUGCCUAAUACAUGCAAGUCGAGCGAACAGACGAGGAGCUUGCUCCUCUGACGUUAGCGGCGGACGGGUGAGUAACACGUGGAUAACCUACCUAUAAGACUGGGAUAACUUCGGGAAACCGGAGCUAAUACCGGAUAAUAUAUUGAACCGCAUGGUUCAAUAGUGAAAGGCGGUUUUGCUGUCACUUAUAGAUGGAUCCGCGCCGCAUUAGCUAGUUGGUAAGGUAACGGCUUACCAAGGCAACGAUGCGUAGCCGACCUGAGAGGGUGAUCGGCCACACGGGAACUGAGACACGUUCCAGACUCCGACGGGAGGCAGCAGUAGGGAAUCUUCCGCAAUGGGCGAAAGCCUGACGGAGCAACGCCGCGUGAGUGAUGAAGGUCUUCGGAUCGGAAAACUCUGUUAUUAGGGAAGAAGAAAUGUGUAAGUAACUAUGCACGUCUUGACGGUACCUAAUCAGAAAGCCACGGCUAACUACGUG
rnacentral:rRNA from 1 species